AAAACUGGCUUUGGACACAGGUGCGAAGCAAGUCUAUGCAGAAAGAAUAGGAAAAAGCUCUAUACGAUACACGAGUAGUUGGUGGAAUACGAGUAAGGACUUUGUUUGCCCAAGUCCCUUGCUUGAAGGACUAUCGCACUUUUAGUGGUACUGAGACUGUCCCUACCACUACCUUUUAUCAAGCGGGUUUACAAGAGUUCUGGCUUUCCCAACUGGACAACUUCUGGGGAAUCUAAUUUCUUUCGCACCCCCUAUUAUAUGCGGUCCUAACUUUGCUACUCUUACUUCCACUAGAAAGAGAACUUCUGCUCGUAACAUACCUUCCCUUAUGAUAUGAUCUUACUUCUUGAAGCGAGCUACUUUAACUGCCAAAGGGGCGGAGCAACUCGAGUUAGACGAGAGGCGGGGAUGUUUAUUUCAAGCUGGAUGAAAGUGGACCACUGAUAGAAAGGUCUUAUAAAACGUUAUUUUUGAACUAAACCUUGCUAAUUAAGUGCUUUUAUGAUUUAAUCUUGUUAGGGAUGCAAUUAGUAAAAAAUAAGCUAAAAGGGCCAAUUUGAA
rnacentral:lncRNA from 1 species